UUUUCAUUGCACCAAGAGUUUAGUUCACCGAAUUUCCACUUGAUUUCAGUGCGAUUCACCUUCAGUUGCUUAGGACCGUUGAACCAUCAGAUUCACAAUCAUGUACUUUUGAAGGCUCGUUUAAAAUGUAUUAGUGUAUUGGAAAGCUUGGGUGGCAGGGAUUUUCUUUAGAAUCGCUAGAUUGUAAGCAUUUUCUCAAUUGUUUCCAGUCCUCUAUUUCUAUGAAAUCAGAUAACACGGUUCCACCGUCGGUUGUUGCUUUGAAAAUAUUGCUUUGGCUUAGGUGAAGGAGCAGCGUUUGCGUCAGCUUUUGCGAAAGGCCAUAGAAGAAACGAUGUUACACGGAGAGAAGAAGCAAGCCCUCACCUGUAAAGAGAUGGAAGCUGAGCAGGAAGAGGUUUCCUGUUUGAUAAGCAUGCAAGUUCUCUUUGGGAAAGGGUUCAAAAGACACGAGGAGAUAACAAAUGGCGUCCAGAUCUAGAAGCCUCUGAAGGCCAUGUUCGCAUUGCCUCCAACAACAAAACGUUCUCUGAUUUGCAACAACAGGGACUUAUUAGAGUCAUUUGUGAUUUUUUUUGCUUGGUGCUAUGCUUUCCAUAUCCCAAUGUUCUACAGGGCUGCCAUCUGAGUGAAGCAGUCUCUUGAACAAAUUUGUGAACUUCAACCCAGUGAAAGCGUGUGCAUCGGCUGGUGUUGCGGUGGUUCACAAGUGAAUAUUUUUCUGAUCAAGGUUUCCUGGGCAUGAGAAGUGUCACCACCUCCCAAGGUCCCUAUGUCAUGUUUUGCGAGGGGCUGUGGGUGCGUCAUUAGGAAAUCUAGAGUUGUAACAUUCAGAAGAUAUUUUUCGGUUAGCAAAUUACGUUUGCAAAACAUUUCCGCUCUAUCAUCGGCCACUGCGACGUGGAAUGUUGCUGGAAAUGACUUCCAACGAUUUAGUUUCUCAUGAUUUUGCAAGAAGUAAGGUUCCCAGGUUUUUCAAGAAGACACAAUUUUGUCGUUGCAGGACUGACACAUUCAGAGAGAAGUUUCUGAUUCAGGCCAAUCCACCAUUCCUGUCUCUGCAAAAAAAGGCCAUUAAAAUUGCAGGGAAGUACUCUGCUCACUCUACAUUUUCGCUUUUCAAAUGUAUGCAAGUUUAUUUUUUUAUAAGUUCCCUUUGAUCGUUUGCCAUGAGCAUCUCUGAUCUCAUUUCCUGGUUGGUGGGUUGUAUCUAGGACAAUCAAAACCAAUACCUUUGGGGUGGGAAAUGCAUAUAAAUUUUGAGCAAUAAUGGGGUUGUCUAAAACACCGAGAAUUUGGUACUAUCAUAGCAUGCUAUUCUACAUUGAAUGAAGGGAAGGGGCUGGAAAUAAUAGCGUGGAUCUGAUGGAUGGAGAUGCAGCCUGGAGUAAGUGUACAAAUCUCCCGCUCAACUUUCAAGGAAGAAUGACAUAAAUUUCAGUUUUCGAUUGGGAGAGUGAAUUGGCGCUACAAAUUGGUACCCUUUCAAAUAAUGCAUUUGGUACGAGAUCUUGGAAGUUUAGCCGAAACGACUCUACAAAAUAGUUACUAUUAUUAUUAUUUAAUCAAUCAUUUUUUUUAGUAAAAUUUAAUGUGGUUUUCAUACCAUGUGGUUUGCUUUCAAUGAUUUAUUGAAGUAAAAUGGUUUGUCUCUCAAUCUUUGAUUUGAU